GAAUUUUUAUGAAGUAAACACACUUAUACAAACAAAUUUUGCUGCCCAGGGCAGCCCUGACUUACUCUUGCUGUCCUGACAUAAUUAUUAAUACUGUUCCCUUUCACACUCAAAAGUGUCCCACAAUGGAUAACUUUUAUGCUCAUUCUACUUAUGCAACCUAAUCUACUAGCUAACAGUGUACUCUGCUCACCUGUUUGUAGGAAAAUUACAUGGCAAGAAUCUCAAAAAGAGAUAGUACCUUGCAAAUCCUUUUACCUGCCUGCUCUCACAUACUCCCCUUCCCAUACACGCACUGAAGCUAACUAUUUUUUACUUAGAGGUAGUGCACAGUUCUUCCACAUCAGGGUUCCGAAAGGCGCUGUCCAGCAGAUGGACACUGGUGCCAGUAAAGUCGGAGCUUCUAUUUAGGGUCCAGGCACUUUGUGCCAAUGACAGAAUCCAGGGGCCAUUCGAAGAGUCCUGUUCUCCCGCAUUCGAUUUAGCCAAAGUUAAAUUAUUUCUGCUCGAGGGCAGACACAACAUCUCAAAGCGACUUAGAUUGGCAUGGGGUGGGGGCUACAUUUUGACUGUGGUUCCUCUGCUCUCAAGAAACAAGUGGCUUAUGCCAACCAAAAAUA
rnacentral:lncRNA from 1 species